ACUGCUCAGUAACACGUGGACAAUCUGCCCUGAAGAGGAGGAUAAUCCCGGGAAACUGGGGGUAAUACUCCAUAGUUCGUGCUGACUGGAAUGUUAUGCGAACGAAAGAUGAGUCGCUUCAGGAUGAGUCUGCGGCCGAUUAGGUAGUUGUUGGGGUAACGGCCCAACAAGCCUGUCAUCGGUACGGGUUGUGGGAGCAAGAGCCCGGAGAUGGAUUCUGAGACACAAAUCCAGGCCCUACGGGGCGCAGCAGGCGCGAAAACUUUACCAUGCGGGCAACCGUGAUAAGGAAACCCCGAGUGCCAGCAGAGGCUGGCUGUCCGCCAGUGUACAUAACUGGUGAAGAAAGGGCCGGGCAAGACCGGUGCCAGCCGCUGCGGUAAUACCGGCGGCUCGAGUGGUGGCCGCUAUUACUGGGCUUAAAGGGUCCGUAGCUGGAUGUACAAGUCCCUUGAGAAAUCCGCGGGCUUAACCUGCGGGCGUUCAGGGGAAACUGUAUCUCUAGGGACCGGGAGAGGUGAGAGGUACUGCCGGGGUAGGAGUGAAAUCCUGUAAUCCCGGUGGGACCACCUAUGGCGAAGGCAUCUCACCAGAACGGGUCCGACAGUGAGGGACGAAAGCUGGGGGAGCAAACCGGAUUAGAUACCCGGGUAGUCCCAGCUGUAAACGAUGCGCGUUAGGUGUGUCAGUGACCACGUGUCACUGAGGUGCCGAAGGGAAACCGUGAAACGCGCCGCCUGGGGAGUACGGUCGCAAGGCUGAAACCUAAAGGAAUUGGCGGGGGAGCAC
rnacentral:rRNA from 1 species